CGCCUCCUGCAGUUUAAAGUAUAGGAGGUCCAGCCUGCCCAGUGACUACGGGUUCAACGGCCGCGGUAUAUUGACCGUGCAAAGGUAGCGCAAUCACUUGUCUUUUAAAUAGAGACCUGUAUGAAUGGCUAGACGAGGGCUUAACUGUCUCCCCCUUCCAGUCAGUGAAAUUGAUCUAUCCGUGCAGAAGCGGGUAUAAUACUACAAGACGAGAAGACCCUUUGGAGCUUAAGGUACAAAAUUCAGCCACGUUAAGCAACUCAGUAGAAAGCAAGAACUUAGUGGCCAUGAAGUUUUACCUUCGGUUGGGGCGACCACGGAGGAAAAGCAAGCCUCCGAGUGGACCGGGCCAAAACCCCUAAAGCCAAAAGAGACAUCUUUAAGCCGCAGAACAUCUGACCAAUAAUGAUCCGGCUAGAAGGCCGAUCAACGGACCAAGUUACCCUAGGGAUAACAGCGCAAUCCUCUCCCAGAGACCAUAUCUACGAGGGGGUUUACGACCUCGAUGUUGGAUCAGGACAUCCUGGUGGUGCAGCCGCUAUUAAGGGUUCGUUUGUUCAACGAUUAAAGUCCU
rnacentral:rRNA from 1 species